AGAGAAGAGGGUGUAGUUUUCUUACACCUACCCAUUGAGUCGUUAAAACUCGCUGUGGGUGGGAGCCGGUACCGGGCUGCGAACCCUGUACCUACCAGCCUUAUGUCCGAUGGCUUAACCACGACAUCACCGAAUAUCACCGAAUAUCAUUAUCUGUAAUAACAAGGCGUUUGUGGUCGUCCUAAUGUUUGUAGUAGUGCAAAGUAGGUUUCACCUUCCAAUAAUUUCGUAUUGACUGCUGCGAACAUUAGUACACGACCGCAAACGUUGGAUAUUUAGACACUGAUGUCCUAAACAAGAAAAGGUAUUUAAUACGUAAUUUUAGUUGUCCAAAAUGCCAUGUCAGGCAAUGUCUGCAAACUAGGGCCAGUUCCUUUAAAUGUUUCCACUGAAUAUAUUACUGUUUGGGUGUUUAGGGCAUGAUAGUCUCUUUGUCUCUGUCUGUCUGUCUGUCUGUCUGUCUGUCUGUCUCUCUCUCUCUCUCUCUCUCUCUCUCUCUCUCUCUCUCUCUCUCUCUCUCUCUCUCUCUCUCUCUCUCUCUCCCUCUCUCUCUCUCUCUCUCUCUCUCUCUCUCUCUCUCUCUCUCUCUCUCUCUCUCUCUCUCUCUCUCUCUCUCUCUCUUCGUCUCUCCGUCUCCGUGUCUAUCUUCAUUUGUCUGUUCUCUUUCUCUUUCUCUCUCUCUCUAGCUCUCUCUCUCUAGCUCUCUAGCUCUCUCUCUCUCUCUCUCUCUCUCUCUCUCUCUCUCUCUCUCUCUCUCUCUCUC